rnacentral:rRNA from 1 species
GAUGAACGCUGGCGGCGUGCCUAAUACAUGCAAGUCGAACGGGGAGUCGCAAUUCUCGUAGUGGCGAACGGGGGAGUAAGGCGUUGGUACCUGCGCCUAAGCGGGGGAUAACGGACCGAAAGGUCCGCUAAUACCGCACGUGCACGGUAACGAGUAAAGGGGAACACCACUUUGGGAGGGGCAUGCGUCCCAUCAGCUAGGUGGUAAGGUAACGGCUUACCAAGGCGAUGACGGGUAGGUGACCUGAGAGGGUGGCCCACCACAAUGGAACUGAAGCACGGUCCAUACACCUACGGGGGGGAGCAGUAGGGAAUAUUGGUAAUGGGCGCAAGCCUGAACAAGCAACGCCGCGUGAGCGAGGACGGCCUUCGGGUUGUAAAGCACUUUUGAGAGGGACGAGGAAGGACGGUAACGGGCGAAUCAGCCUCGGCUAACUACGUG